rnacentral:snRNA from 1 species
AUCGCCUCUUUGACCUAAGAUCAUGUGUAGUAUCUGUUCUUUGCAGUGUAACUUCUACAAUGGUCUCUAAACUGAGACCAAAGAAAUUACUUGUAUUUCUCCCUUACGGUUGGGUGCUUUGAGAUUGUUCAACCCUAUCCACUGGUCGACCUCAACGACUGGUCCAUU